CACGUAGGGGGCAAGCGUUGUCCGGAUUUAUUGGGCGUAAAGAGCUCGUAGGUGGUUCGGUAAGUCGGGUGUGAAACCUCCAGGCUCAACCUGGAGACGCCACCCGAUACUGCUGUGACUGGAGUCCGGUAGGGGAGCGUGGAAUUCCUGGUGUAGCGGUGAAAUGCGCAGAUAUCAGGAGGAACACCAGCGGCGAAGGCGGCGCUCUGGGCCGAUACUGACACUGAGGAGCGAAAGCGUGGGUAGCAAACAGG
rnacentral:rRNA from 1 species